GUGGCAAGGUAUGGCCCAAGCCAUGCCUUGGCCCAACGCCCCAGCCCAAUUAGCAAUACCAACUCUCUGGCACCGGCCGCCGCUUUACACGGUAACACGCAGCCGCUCUUCCCUGCUCAUGCUCGCUCGCUGGUCUGCUCCUGCUCGCUCGCUGGUCUGCGGCAAGAAGCCGGAAGCCACCGUCCGUCCUCAACCAGCCGCUGGCCCGCUGCAGCCUGCAGACAGCAGAUCGUCCUCGCGCGCCCAGUCGCCCGUCCCGUCGCCCCUGCACACGGCUGGCUUGCCGCAGACCGCAGUGCCGCACUGCCGCUCGAGUCUGUCAGACCGCAGUGCCGCUCGAGACUGAAGACGCUGCUGACCGCCUGCUGUCAGCUGUGGAUAACUGGAUUUAAUCUGGUCAUUUAAUUAUUUGAGCAAUGGCUGGAAAUAAGAAGGGAAAGAAUAAGGCUUCACAAAAAAGAUUUGAAGAGCUAUUUUAGCCAAGGUUCCACUGGCUCAAGUCUAAGUACUCAUGGCAGCGGCGUAGUUGCUAUUGUAGAUGUGCCUUUAGAAGAAAAUGUCUCGCCAUCUGUAGAACAUGAUGAAGAAGAAGAACAAGUUCAAGAAGGUAUAACUGACUUCAACCCAGAUCACAUUAUUUCUGAUCCAGGACUUCGUAUUCCAAUUGAAAGAUUUUAUGCAAAUAUUAGAUAUGAAGUUAGGAGAGCUUUUAUAGCUAAAGGUCCAACCCAACCAACUGGUCAUAGAUUUCCUCCAUCAAGUGAUAAAAGGAGCUUUCAGAAAAAGUGGUUUAGUCAAUAUAGUUGGUUGGAAUAUAGUGUGGAGAAGAAUAAAGCAUAUUGCUUCUAUUGCUACCUUUUUAAGAAUGAUCGAAUGGAUGCCAAUUUUGGUUAUGAUGCCUUUACAAUAGCUGGGUUCUCACAAUGGAAAAAUGCUUAUCUUGCACUUCCAAAACAUGUUGGUGGGCCUAGUAGCAUAAACAAUGUUGCAUCAACAUCAUUUCAUGAUUUUGAUAACCAAAGGUCAAGCAUAAAACAUAAGGUUUCAAGUUAUAGCAAAGAUGCAUUGAUCAAAUAUGAAACCCGAUUGGAAACUUCUUUAGGUAUUGUAAGUUAUCUUGUAUUGCAAGGGGAACCAUUUCGGGGGCAUGAUGAAUCUAGUACUUCCUUGAAUAGAGGCAAUUUUUUAGAAUUGCUUGAUUGGUACAAGCAAAGGAAUGAUGAAGUGAAGCGUGUUUUUGAUGAGUUAUGUACCAAAAAUGCUAAAAUGACCUCUGGAACAAUUCAGAAAGAACUUGCAAGUUGUUGUGCAGAAGCAAUCACAAAGGCAAUAAAGGAAGAAAUGGGGGAUUGUCUAUUCACUAUUCUUGUUGAUGAAUCUCGUGAUAUAUCAAUUAAAGAACAAAUGGCCUUGGUUGUGAGAUUUGUGAAUACUAAAGGUGAGGUAAUUGAAAAAUUUCUAGGUCUCAAACAUGUCAAGGACACAACAUCGGAAGCAUUGAAGAGAGCACUGGUUGAGGCAUUAAGCGACCAUGGUUUAUGUGUUGCAAAUUGUCAGCAGUGCUACAACAGAGAGCGAUAUACCAGCCGUCUUGCAGAAGCAGCAUCAGGGAAACACAAGCAGUGGGCCGCCUGUUGAUCCUGCGAUUGGGCCGAGGCGCAGUAUGAGACAACGCGUCAAGAGCACAAGGGUCCAUGGGCCUGAGUGGGUGGCAUGACUAGCGUUCGGAGAGGAUACUUCUUCCACUAGCGUCGCGUGGGAAGGGCAGGAAAUGACAGAGAGAGCUGAUUCUCCUAUUGUAGUUCCUUAGAACUCCUUCUUCCCCUUCCUGCUACUCUCUGUUAAUUCUGCUGUAAUUCCGCUACAUUACUACCAAUCAAUACGAGUGCCAGUCGAACCCUAACACAAAUCUUCGAGGGCAAGGGUACGAUGGUGCUUCUAACAUGAGAGGAGAAUUUAAUGGUCUUCAAAAAAUAAUUCGAGAUGAGAACCCGCAUGCUCAUUAUAUCUAUUGUGACGACUUCUCUUUUGAUGAUCGCAAGAUAAUAAAGGAUCAGUUACGCACUUUCAUUAUUCAUGUGCGAAGACUUGAGGAGUUCAAAGUUUGUUAUGAUCUUGCAAGUCUAUCCAAAAUAAUGGUUAGACUUGAAAGACAUAUUGUUUUCCCAUUGGUCUUUCGUCUUAUUGAGUUGGCAUUGCUAUUACCGGUGGCUACGGCAACGGUUGAAAGGGCCUUCUCAGCGAUGAAGGUUAUCAAGACUGAGUUGCUCAAUAAGAUGUCUGAUGGUUGGUUAAAUGAUUUAAUGGUUUGCUAUAUUGAGAGGGACAUAUUCAAAGGACUUGAUCUUCAAAAAAUUAAAAAGGCUUUUCAAAAGAAGAAAGAUAGACAAAUGCAAUUGCCUCAGUCUCCUAGGCGUAACUAGAAGGCUAGGGUCCAUCAAGAUGACAAACAACGGAGCAAGAAAAAGAAGGAAAAAAAAGAAAAAGGGCAAAGGUAAUACAAUGUAGGUUUUUUCCUUGCUUUUUCAUCUAAAAGACAUUGGUUGGCAGAUGGGCAAUGUACUGAACCUAAUCCACCGUGCCAUUGCUGAACCUACUUGUAGAUCAUAUAGGUUCGAUGUGCUGUCAAAGAGUCAUCAAGCAAACUUUCUGUUGAUAAUGAUCUCCAUUGUGUUCUAA